rnacentral:miRNA from 1 species
AGGCCUCUUCUCACAAUUCUAAU